AUUGAACGCUGGCGGCAGGCCUAACACAUGCAAGUCGAGCGGAUAAAGGGAGCUUGCUCCUGGAUUCAGCGGCGGACGGGUGAGUAAUGCCUAGGAAUCUGCCUGGUAGUGGGGGAUAACGUCCGGAAACGGGCGCUAAUACCGCAUACGUCCUGAGGGAGAAAGUGGGGGAUCUUCGGACCUCACGCUAUCAGAUGAGCCUAGGUCGGAUUAGCUAGUUGGUGGGGUAAAGGCCUACCAAGGCGACGAUCCGUAACUGGUCUGAGAGGAUGAUCAGUCACACUGGAACUGAGACACGGUCCAGACUCCUACGGGAGGCAGCAGUGGGGAAUAUUGGACAAAGGGCGAAAGCCUGAUCCAGCCAUGCCGCGUGUGUGAAGAAGGUCUUCGGAUUGUAAAGCACUUUAAGUUGGGAGGAAGGGCAGUAAGUUAAUACCUUGCUGUUUUGACGUUACCAACAGAAUAAGCACCGGCUAACUUCGUG
rnacentral:rRNA from 1 species